AGGACGAACGCUGGCGGCGUGCUUAACACAUGCAAGUCGAACGGUAAGGCCCCUUCGGGGGUACACGAGUGGCGAACGGGUGAGUAACACGUGGGUAAUCUGCCCUGCACUUCGGGAUAAGCCUGGGAAACUGGGUCUAAUACCGGAUAUGAACUCCUGCCGCAUGGUGGGGGUUGGAAAGUUUUUCGGUGCAGGAUGAGCCCGCGGCCUAUCAGCUUGUUGGUGGGGUAAUGGCCUACCAAGGCGACGACGGGUAGCCGGCCUGAGAGGGUGAUCGGCCACACUGGGACUGAGACACGGCCCAGACUCCUACGGGAGCAGCAGUGGGAAUAUUGCACAAUGGGCGAAAGCCUGAUGCAGCGACGCCGCGUGGGGGAUGACGGUCUUCGGAUUGUAAACCCUUUCAGUAGGGACGAAGCGCAAGUGAGGUACCUGCAGAAGAAGCACGCUAACUACGUGACAGCAGCGC
rnacentral:rRNA from 1 species